rnacentral:rRNA from 1 species
UACGUAGGCAGCAAGCGUUGUUCGGAAUCACUGGGCGUAAAGCGCACGUAGGCGGCUUUCUAAGUCAGGGGUGAAAUCCUGGAGCUCAACUCCAGAACUGCCUUUGAUACUGGAGAGCUCGAGUCCGGAAGAGGUGAGUGGAACUGCGAGUGUAGAGGUGAAAUUCGUAGAUAUUCGCAAGAACACCAGUGGCGAAGGCGGCUCACUGAUCCGGUACUGACGCUGAGGUGCGAAAGCGUGGGGAGCAAACAGG